rnacentral:rRNA from 1 species
CCUACGGGGUGCAGCAGUGGGGAAUAUUGCACAAUGGGGGAAACCCUGAUGCAGCAACGCCGCGUGAGUGAAGAAGUAUUUCGGUAUGUAAAGCUCUAUCAGCAGGGAAGAAGAAAGACGGUACCUGACUAAGAAGCCCCGGCUAACUACGUGCCAGCAGCCGCGGUAAUACGUAGGGGGCAAGCGUUAUCCGGAUUUACUGGGUGUAAGGGGAGCGUCGACGGCUGUGCAAGUCUGAAGUGAAAGCCCGUGGCUCAACCGCGGAACUGCUUUGGAAACUGUAUAGCUGGAGUACUGGAGAGGCAGGCGGAAUUCCUAGUGUAGCGGUGAAAUGCGUAGAUAUUAGGAGGAACACCAGUGGCGAAGGCGGCCUGCUGGACAGAAACUGACGUUGAGGCUCGAAAGCGUGGGGAGAAAACAGGAUUAGAUACCCUAGUAGUC